rnacentral:lncRNA from 1 species
ACUAUACACUCCUUUUGUUGGCUUUUUAAGUGAAACCAAAUUAUAAAAUAAUACAGUUAAACCAUAUCUCAGGUGAAAAUGUGUGUGUACCUGUGUUUUUGUUUAGAUAAAUGAUUUUACUUAUCUUCAAAGUGAUAACUGUUUAUAGUGCAUAUAAGCAUAACUUGAGAGAUAAAUGUGUAACAGUUUGGCAGUCACUUGAUACUGGUUUAAUGUAAAGACUGUUAACCUGCAGACUAAAUCAUUGUCAUGGGAAUUCCCUCCAAUCUCUGUGGCAUCUUUGGUCAAGGAAUACUUGCUGCUUUCAAUUUUUUAAAAUCGAAGUGUAGUAGGUAUGUAG